UUUAAAUUGAGAGUUUGAUCCUGGCUCAGGACGAACGCUGGCGGCGUGCCUAACACAUGCAAGUCG
rnacentral:rRNA from 2 species